GCCCUGUCCUAAUUAAUUACUUAUUUUGAAAAAGAAAAUUAAAUUUUCUGUGAUUUUUCUCGUCCUUUCUUUUCUUUUCCCUCGUCAAGGAGGGAAGGAGGAACUUUGAUUGUCUUUACAGGAGUGCCGUUCAUGGGGUCAGAUACCUUGAAAGUUCCCGCUGAACUUGAAUCAGCUUUGCGGCUGAAGACCUUGCAGUACUUUGUAACACGGAGGCCGUGGCUUGAUCUUUACGGAAUUAAUGUUAGGCCUGUUGCACCUUUUGGAAGUUUAAGCAGAACACCUUAUUUUGAUCCAGCACUGAUACACAGGUCCUUGCCU